AUAAAAUUGUGGGAGGCAGUUAAAGGAAGUCUGCUGUAUGAGGGGAAUGCUGUGUGAUUUUCCAGAGACCUCCUGUUGCCAGCGGGUUGUUGUAUUUAUGUUGCACACUGAUUGGGAAGGAGAUUGCUGGGCAAGCAGCAGUGUCUGACUAUCAGGGACAACGAAAAGCAAGCUCCGUGCCACUAGACUUCCUGUCACAGGAAGUGAGUAACAAAGACUAUGACCAGGAUCAGCAGGACCUUAGCUCCAACCUGGUGGAGGAAAGGAACAACUGGGUUUCUUGGAUGAUGUGGCUUCAAUGGCCUGGUGCAUAGGAACCCCAGGAGUAUAAAGCCACCAGUGCACAAUAUGCCACAAUGCCAUCAAGGUAUAAAGGGGCAGAAUCCAUCUGUUGUAUUUUUGGAGUGACAGGGGGAUCCCAAGAGCUGACCAUAUUGGAGGCUGAAAUGACUAACUGGGAAGGAGUGGACAAAACAUCCCAUGGUGUCUGGCCCUGAGGCCCUGUGCAUCUGUGGCGUAGACUACCUCAGGAGAGGAUACUUCAGGGAAUUGAAGCUGCCUUGGAGAUGGAGAUAUUAAGCAGCUGUCUACCUUGCCUGGUCUUUCAGAGGUCCCUUCUGUUUCAUGGUUGCUGAGGGCCAGCAUGCCAAAUCAGAUUGUUGUAUUAAACCACAACAGUGUAGGAGAAUGAUUAAGCCAGAAACAAAGGUUCUAAUUAUUUCACACUACAUGUUUGACAUAUUCACUAAACUGAGUUGUCAGGCUGCUGUUUUUGGAAUUAUCUUAUGUCAUUGGCAGAUGACUGUUCUGUGAUUUUUAUGUCUACUGAAAAUUCAUUUUAACUAGAAAAUUGUACUACCCUAAAUUCACUUAGAAAAGCUCUUGAGCAACUUGGAAAGUGGUUGCUACUUUAAUCUCUUAACACGUACUGAAACAAUUCUCUAUGCUUGAUAAAAAUCCAUUGAAAAAAAUUAUAUGGAUGUAUUUAAUUCUUCAGUGCACAUCACAGUAUUGAUGCAUAGAAGAUAUUUGUUUUCUGUACUAUGAACAUAGAUAAUUAAUAGAAAACAGAAGGAAUAAUUUGUUUUUAUCUAUCGUUAUGUAUUAUAAACAGA